rnacentral:misc_RNA from 1 species
GAUGAAGAACGUAGCGAAAUGCGAUAAGUAAUGCGAAUUGCAGAAUUUCCGUGAAUCAUCGAAUCUUUGAACGCAUAUUGCGCUCUCUGGUAUUCCGGAGAGCAUGCUUGUUUGAGUAUCAGUAAACACCUCAACUCCCUUUUCUUUUUUGAAAUGGGAGCUGGACUUGAGUGAUCCCAACACUUUUCUCACUGGAAAGUGGCGGGUCACUUGAAAUGCAGGUGCAGCUGGACUUUUCUCUGAGCUAUAAGCAUAUCUAUUUAGUCUGCCUAAAAAACAGAUUAUUACCUUUGCUGCAGCUAACAUAAAGGAGAUGAGUUCUUGUGCUGACUGAUGCAGGAUUCACAGAGACAGCUUUGCGGCUGACUUUGUAAACUCGAUCUCAAAUCAAGUAAGACUACCCGCUGAACUUAAGCAUAUCAAUAAGCGGAGGA